rnacentral:rRNA from 1 species
GAUGAACGCUGGCGGCGUGCCUAAUACAUGCAAGUCGAGCGAACAGAUGAGGAGCUUGCUCCUCUGACGUUAGCGGCGGACGGGUGAGUAACACGUGGAUAACCUACCUAUAAGACUGGGAUAACUUCGGGAAACCGGAGCUAAUACCGGAUAAUAUAUUGAACCGCAUGGUUCAAUAGUGAAAGACGGUUUUGCUGUCACUUAUAGAUGGAUCCGCGCCGCAUUAGCUAGUUGGUAAGGUAACGGCUUACCAAGGCAACGAUGCGUAGCCGACCUGAGAGGGUGAUCGGCCACACGGGAACUGAGACACGGGCCAGACUCCUACGGGAGGCAGCAGUAGGGAAUCUUCCGCAAUGGGCGAAAGCCUGACGGAGCAACGCCGCGUGAGUGAUGAAGGUCUUCGGAUCGUAAAACUCUGUUAUUAGGGAAGAACAAAUGUGUAAGUAACUAUGCACGUCUUGACGGUACCGAAUCAGAAAGCCACGGCUAACUACGUG